AUCGCAAGACGCAGAAGUCGACCGCGCACUCAACACAACAUUAGCAUAUUUUACUUCUCGGCCGAGCUUGGCCGACGAGUUGGCACGCCCCGCAUUCAACCGAAGGACGUAAUUAGCUCAUAGAUUACUCGGCCUGCACGCCACGUAGUCUAGGUAGUUUUUAGGGUCAACAUUUUGGCACACCCAGUGGGACACAGUGCUAAAACUACGAAGUUCAUGCCAAUUGAAACACGAUCGGUUAAAAAGAAAACAACUAUGGGAAAAUCAACAACCGAUUUGCCAAUUCAGAACAUAGGAUAAAGUGUAUCACAGGCACAAAAUCCCCUUAGUGCCGUGACAC
rnacentral:lncRNA from 1 species